rnacentral:rRNA from 1 species
GACAGAGGUGCCGAGCGUUAGGCGGAAUCACUGGGCUUAAAGCGUGUGUAGGCGGGCCGUUAAGUACCUUGUGAAAUCCCCCGGCUCAACCUCGGAGGGUCGGUGGAUACUGGCAGUCUUGAAGUGGCUAGGGGGAGAUGGAAUUACCGGUGUAGCGGUGAAAUGCGUAGAGAUCGGUAGGAACACCAGUGGCGAAGGCGGUCUCCUGGGGCUAGCUUGACGCUGAGACGCGAAAGCUGGGGGAGCGAACGGG